UAUUUUCCUUUUUUUCCCUCAGCCGCGGUAAUACGUAGGGGGCAAGCGUUAUCCGGAUUUACUGGGUGUAAAGGGAGCGUAGACGGAUUAGCAAGUCUGAUGUGAAAGGCAGGGGCUCAACCCCUGGACUGCAUUGGAAACUGCCAGUCUUGAGUGCCGGAGAGGUAAGCGGAAUUCCUAGUGUAGCGGUGAAAUGCGUAGAUAUUAGGAGGAACACCAGUGGCGAAGGCGGCUUACUGGACGGCAACUGACGUUGAGGCUCGAAAGCGUGGGGAGCAAACAGG
rnacentral:rRNA from 1 species